rnacentral:rRNA from 1 species
GACGAACGCUGGCGGCGUGCUUAACACAUGCAAGUCGAACGGAAAGGCCCUGCUUUUGUGGGGUGCUCGAGUGGCGAACUGGUGAGUUACACGUUAGUAACCUGCCCUUGACUUUGGGAUAACUUCAUGCAACUUGGGCUAAUACCGGAUAGGAGCUCCUGCCGCAUGGUGGGGGUUGGACAGUUUCGGCGGUUGGGGAUGGACUCGCGGCUUAUCAGCUUGUUGGUGGGGUAGUGGCUUACCAAGGCUUUGACGGGUAGCCGGCCUGAGAGGGUGACCGGCCAAAUUGGGACUGAGAUACGGCCCAGACUCCUACGGGAGGCAGCAGUGGGGAAUAUUGCACAAUGGGAGGAAGCCUGAUGCAGCAACGCCGCGUGCGGGAUGACGGCCUGCGGGUUGGAAACCGCUGUCGCCUGUGACGAAGCGUGAGUGACGGUAAUGGGUAAAGAAGCACCGGCUAACUACGUG